rnacentral:misc_RNA from 1 species
CCCAACUAUCCCUAUUAAUCAUUACAUCGAUCCUAGAAACCAACAAAAUAGAAUGCGAUGUCCUAUUUCAUUAUUCCAUGCUAAUGUAUUCAAGCGUGAGCCUGCUUUAAACACUCUAAUUUUUUCAAGGUAACAGUCCUAAUUCCCCAAAACAUCAAAUGAAUGACAUUAUGGUUCAUUAGAAGGUGAGAACCAAUAAAGCCAGUUCAUACCAAGGGCACGACCAACUCAUUGAUCCCGAAGUUCAACUACGAGCUUUUUAACUGCAACAACUUUAAUAUACGCUAUUGGAGCUGGAAUUACCGCGGCUGCUGGCACCAGACUUGCCCUCCAA